ACAUACAAUCAACACUCCACUCAGACAAUGCCCAGACCUCCAGAAACCAUGUGUCAAGCUCGGAUUGCCUUAGACAGGUGCAAUUUAAGAACAGCUUUCAUCCUCUUUUCUCUCAUAUUGUCACACUAUGUGUUCUGACUUCUGGCUCCUUUCCUCACAAGAAGCUCACCCAGCUGGAACUCUUAUGGGACCUUGGCACCAGAGACCACAAAUUCCUCUUUGAAGUUUUCUAACAGCAACAAUGGUAUUUCUGACUUGGCUUUCUUGUAUUUCUCUCACGUUAACAAAAUUGGUUCAGCAUCUACCAUGGGCUACAUGCUGAGCUACAGAGUUUCGCUCUGUCGCCCAGGCUGGAGUGCAGUGGCGCGCGAUCUCGGUUCACUGCAAGCUCCACCUCCCGGGUUCACGCCAUUCUCCUGCCUCAGCCUCCUGAGUAGCUGGGACUACAGGCGCCCGCCACCACACCCAGGAAUCCAACUUGCUGUUUGCUAUCACAUGUGCUAUACAUGCUGUUGAUGAAACUGCUAAAGGGGCUGAAUGUGACUGACGUCUUUGGAAGGAUGAGACUUAGCGUGCCUGUACAGUUGUGUCCAAAUGCUGUCCUCAUCUCCCAAUGAAAAGGUAUUGUAAAUAAAGAGAAAGAUCAGAGGCUUAUUUUAAACACUAAAUAUGAGCUAGGAGCUGUCCUAGACACUAUGUAAAAGUUUUAUUUAGUUCUCACUGUAAUGUUGGCCUUAUGUUAGCAUCCCAUUUUUCAGACUGAGGAAAUUAUGGCUCAGAGAGGUUAAGAGACUUAUUGAAGGUCACACAGCUCCACAAACUUUGGUGUAGAUUGAACGUGUACAUGGGUCUAUGUGACUUUGAAUCUUGCAUUCUUUACAUUAUUGGAAUAUUUCACAGAAGGAAAAUGACAUAUUAACAUGGCAAUAAGAUUUCUGGUUCCAGUCUGGUUACUGGUCUUCCAAGAGUGUUAUAGGAUGUAUAGCCUGAGCUCUGAAGCUUUGUUCUGAAGCAUGCUAUCAAUAUGAACAAAUUGGUAUGGAAGGAAGCCACAAAUUAUAUACUAAAAUCUAGUUCAUCAGAGGAAAAUAUAGUUAAAUACAUUUACAUUCCCAGAACUGUUAAUAUUGAAGAAUAAAACACACAGUGGGAAAGAGACGAAGAGAAAAUACGCCUGUUUUUAUGACUUGUUGAUAUCUACAGGGUUUUUCCUUAAGCCUCACAACAAUUUACAGCAUUGCCAGCAGCAUUCAGUACAUUCAGAACAGGAUAAUUUCACCCGCAGCUGAACUAGGGCCAUGCCUGGGACAGACAGAGAAUGGCCUUCCAGCAGACAUGCCAAGAAGCAAGCCAGGGUCAGUGAGUGAAGAGGAGGGCAGGCCCAUUUGAAGCAACACAGUUUAUGUAAGUGUGAUCUAACUGCUUUCACUGGAAAUGGGUCAGACUCCAGUUGAGAGAACCAGGGGCCUGAAUGACCCCAGCAAAAUCACUGUGGCAAUUCUUUCAAUCACCUCUGAGAAUAUGGCCCUGUGACGACAUAAUGACGUUUGGAUUAAUUCCAGUCGGCUGUGUUUUCCCCUCCUUUCUUGCCUCCCCGUAGUUGAUUUGCCAAAUUUUUUUUGUUUGCUUAAAUACGCGGAACUAAACAGGAUACAUUAUAUGACAGUCUGUGAUAAAUUUACCACUGGGAAUAGGGAAAAAGUAUGGGAUAAAGAAAUAGGUAUUUUUCGCCUCUCACAGCUGUGAUUCAGUUCUGACUCAAAAGGAAGUGUGCCACCUACUGAAUCACAGAAACCACUUCCUGUGGCUGUUUGGUUUAUUCUGGAGGAGCAUCAGGCCAAGUGCUGCCCUGCCCUGACCCUGACUGGCUCUUCAGAGCCAAGGCAUUCACAGCUUGAGGUGGUUUGGCCUCAGACUCUUGAGAACAUUGCAUAUUAAAUUACAAGUGUUUCGUUUCCUAGCAAGGAGUCUUUAGCAACAUGAAAACGAACGUGUGUUAUUUGCAAACCAAGUAUAUCAUUACUGAACCUGAAUAUCCUUACUUUUUCAUAAGGUACGUAUUCCGGAUGACCACUCUUAAGAUCUGAAUGUACACUGGUUCUGUUUUUCCUGAGGGGAACUUGGGCAGUCUGCAGGGUGGCAUUUACCAGCUGAGGGACUUCAAGAGCACCCUUUAAUCAGUGUGGCAGCACUCAACUUGUAUUCACUCACUCAGAGUAUUUUUGAGCAUGUACUUAUUGCCAUGUGCUGUGCUAGGUAGGGGUAGAGGGUACAGUGGUGAACAAGACCCCACAGCUCCUGACCUCAUGGCUCAUGUGUUCUACACCAUAAGGGAAUCAAGCUGUGUCUCCCGGGGCAGGGGCCUUCCUCUGUUCACCAUGCAGCCCCAGCAUCUAGCACCUGGCGUUGCAUAAAGGAGGCUCUAAAUCAAGCUUGUCCAACCCAAGGCCCACGGGCCACAUGUGGCCCAGGAUGGCUUUGAAUGCAGCCAAACACAAAUUUGUAAACUUUCUUAAAACAUUAUAAGAUUUGUGUGUAUGUGUUUUAGUCCAUCAGCUAUUGUUAGUGUUCAUGUAUUUUAUGUGUGGCCCAAGACAAUUCUUCUAUGUGGCCCAAGGAAACCAAAGAUUGAACACUCCUGCUCUAAAUACUUGUUUGUUGAAUAGAUACAUGAAAAGAAAGAAGGAGAGAAGGAAGAAAGGAGGGCGGAAGGAAAGGAAGAAGGGAGAGAAGAAGAGAAGAAAGAAGCAGAGAAAGGAAGAGAAAAGAAAUUACGGCCAGUGCGGUGGCUCACGCCUGUAAUCCUAGCACUUUGGGAGGCCUAAGCGGGCUGAUCACCUGAGGUCAGGAGUUCGUAAGCCAGCCUGGCCAACAUGGUGAAACCCUAUCUCUACUAAAAAUACAAAAAUCAGCAGGGCAUGGUGGUGCGUGCCUGUAAUCCCAGCUACCUGGGAGGCUGAGGUAGGAGAAUCGCUGGAACCCGAGAGGCGGAGGCUGCAGUGAGUUGAGAUCAUGUCACUGCACUCCAGGCUGGGCAACAGAGUGAGACUCUGUCUCAGAAAAAAAAAAAAA
ensembl:lncRNA LUCAT1 lung cancer associated transcript 1